UGGUGCUUUCAGUGCCGAAUUUUUUAUAGAACAUGUAGUUUUCCAUUAUAAAGGGGACUGUAAUGCGACGUCUUUAAGUAGGGGGUUGUCUUAUAUUCAGAGUCGACUUAUGUUUCAAUAUGAACGGGAAUGAAGUGUUACGCAAUUCUAUUAACGAAAUUUACCUCUGCUGUUUAGUUUCCAUAUUGUGCGUAGAAGCAACAGUGCGUGCACUUACAGCUGCUCAGUUUAUCUUCAAUGCUGCUCUCAUUUUGUAGCGUUCAUCACUUGUGCAUGUGCAACACAUUGGCGGAGGCAAUACGAACUGCAUUUCUCACUAGCUGGACAAGUCAGAAUGGCAAUGCACCUUGGAGAACAAGACUCGAAUUGUGAAAGUCUGGUGGUUUCACAGAACUUUGUUUUAUGUCAAGAUGGGCUGACGCCAUGUCACCUGAUGCUGUCACUCUCUGGAAAUGCCUAUUUUCUGCCUGCCCAGGAGGAGCUCCAAGCAAUAAUCACAGAUCAAAACGUCUGAUUGUGGUAUUCACCCAUUUCUA
rnacentral:lncRNA from 1 species